rnacentral:rRNA from 1 species
AUUGAACGCUGGCGGUAUGCUUAACACAUGCAAGUCGAACGAUGAGAAAGAGCUUGCUCUUUCGAUUAGUGGCGGACGGGUGCGUAACGCGUAGGAAUCUACCUAUUAGUGGGGGACAACUUAGGGAAACUUAAGCUAAUACCGCAUACGCCCUACGGGGGAAAGAAGGGGAUCGCAAGACCUUUUGCUAAUAGAUGAGCCUGCGUAGGAUUAGCUAGUUGGUGGGGUAAAAGCUCACCAAGGCGACGAUCCUUAACUGGUUUGAGAGAAUGAUCAGUCACACUGGAACUGAGACCCGGUCCAGACUCCUACGGGAGGCAGCAGUGGGGAAUAUUGGACAAUGGGCGAAAGCCUGAUCCAGCCAUGCCGCGUGUGUGAAGAAGGUCUUCGGAUUGUAAAGCACUUUAAGUUGGGAGGAAGGGCAGUAAGCUAAUACCUUGCUGUUUUGACGUUACCGACAGAAUAAGCACCGGCUAACUCUGUGCCAGCCGCCGCCGUAACAC